rnacentral:lncRNA from 1 species
UCCUUGUGCCCCAGUGCCUGGUACAAGUAAUAUGAAUAUAAUAGGCACUUAAUAGGUGUUAGUUUAGUUGAAGUGAAAUUGCCCUUUCAAGACAUUUUUGGAAUUUUUGACUAUAAAAAAGCAUUUUAUUCAAUAAAUCAAUAUAGUAUCUUAUAGGCUGUCCUCCAUCAGGAUGUCUUUCAUACAUAUCUUAAAAUUACAUUAGAUUUUUUGGAAGAUGUAAAGCAAUGAUAACUCUGCUCAACAACACUCUGGUUAUUGAUAUCAAAUGAGACAUAAAAUAAAGAAAUAUAUGUUCACCAAAGGUAUUUGCCAGUGUUAUACUGGACAUCUAAUGUAAGUUUUAAAUGGAAGGCUGGGAUCCCUAUAUAUUGUCAGAUGUUCCUAUUUGUGAAUGAUGUUAAGUUUAUUGGAUCAAGCAGAGGAACACUAUAAAGUCUCCUAAAUGAGAUACACAACCAUUUUUAAAAGUUUGACCUUCCUACCCAUACAGGGGACCAAAUAUGAAUAAAGUACAUCUAUUAUGCAGACUACACUAUGGAACUGAAUGGACUAACUGAUCAAUUAGCACAUAUAUCUUGUAUAGACACUGCAGAUGGAUUUAAACUGGGUUCAAAUUGGACAGGAAAGGAGAUCAGCAAAACCAAGGAACAGACUCAAAAUAGGUUGAGGAACAGCCAAUGA